UAAAUGGCGAUCACUGAAGGUUAGUGUAUUUCUUGAUGUUCUUUUGAUUAAAUUAGCAUAUGGAAUUACUCAAACUCUAUGCUGUUCUCGUGUUUUCAGGUUCAGUGGGACGAACCUGCAUCCAUUCCAAGACCUGAAAGGGUUUCUCCAUGGGAGAUAGAACCAUUUGUGGCUUCAGUUCCCACAAGCCUGGUUCAACCAUCGGCAGCAAAAAAUAAAAGGCCAAGAUUGCAUGUUGAAACCCCAGUUCCUGGUUCAACAUUCUUGCAUACCCUUUUUUCCCAAACUUUCUAGCAUUUUUAUGUAUUAGGACUUCAUUUAAUUUUGUUGCUAUUUCCUAUGUGGUAGAUACUCCAAGUUCAACAGCAUCAGCUGUGUGGAAUCCGUCCCGCGAAUCACAUCAAGUAAUGGGCUCUCUUGAAGAACAAAGGAGUGAACAAGUUGACACUGGUGGCACUCUCAUCAGAAACAGAAACGGCAACACUUCUGGAACUCUUUUAGAGGGAGACUGGCUAUCUCCUGAUGUGAAUUCGUCUCUUAAUAUGUUUUCUGAAGAAACAGAAGAGAGCAAAAGUGCAUCGGCUUGGUCUAUUUUUUCAAACUGUUCAGCCCCAAAUUCUGGAAAACGGAGUAAUAGUCGCAUUUCUUGCCUGAAUGAUGGGAGGAAAUUAGAUGCGUCUGCAACUUGCAGAUUAUUUGGUAUUGAUUUGAACAGCCCUUUGACGGGUGCUGCCCUUCUCGAGAAAUCCUCUCUAAAAUCAGUUGAUAAACUAAAUGAUGCUUCUGAAGGAUGCGUCUCAAAUCAACGGCAGCAGUUACAAGUACCAGUAAAGGAGGUUCCUAGCAGACAGAAUCACUCCACUAGAAGUCGCACCAAGGUAUAAUUUCACCUUCUACUUUUAACAACAAAGUAUUAUUGAUUGAGCGUUUACUGAAUUGAAAGAGUAAUUAAUAAUAACUAUUUGUUUCUUUGGUGUGAAAUACUUUGAGAAGGUUCAAAUGCAAGGUGUUGCUGUGGGUCGUGCUGUGGACCUAACUGCGUUAAAGGGAUACGAUGAGCUUAUAAGUGAAAUUGAAGAGAUGUUCGAAAUAAAGGGUGAGCUUCAGCUCCGACAUAAUUGGGAGAUUGUUUUCACUGAUGACGAAGGAGACAUGAUGCUUAUGCGCGAUUAUCCAUGGCUGUACGUAUUAUUUGUAUUUUUCAUCUAGACAUAUCAUCUACUUCAACGGUUAUAUGAUACUAUUAUUUUCUUGCAGAGAAUUCUGUGAUAAGGUGCAGAGGAUUUUCAUCUAUUCUAGCCAAGAUGUGAAAAAAAUGAGAGCAGGAAGCAAGCUUCCUCUAUCUUCGACAGACAACUGAAGGAGAUGCUUUAACUUGGAAGUUGGUGAAGAUUAAAAUUAAAUUAAUUUCACAUUUUCUUGUUCAUCCCUGCUUUUUCCUUUUAAUUUGUUUUUCAAUGGAAAAAGCUUCAGUUUUUCGCUGUUGUAGAGGUCUUGAGGAAUUUCUUGUUUGUUUCUCUGAUUCUGUGUCAUCAAGAUGGAUGGCUAUAGAUAUGGAUGUAGCAUCAGGCUAACAACCAAGAAAACUAGCUGUUUGCGACUAGAAAUUUUACGAGUAAUCGGGGGUGGGAUUAGGAUUAGAAUCUGUGUAUAUCAGAGGUGUUUCCGGUGGAUUUGGAUGUAAAUAUAAAUUUCUUGGCAUCUGGUUUAUAAAUUGCCAGGUUCUUUUGGAAAUGUGUACUUCAAUAAUCCAGGGCAUUUCAUUUUCUUCCUUGCAUGCAUAGUUAAAUUGAAUUCAAGGUUCUGGUUCAAUGGAUAUGUGG
rnacentral:lncRNA from 1 species